rnacentral:lncRNA from 1 species
UGAUUUCAAAGCUCUUAUUUUUUCUGCUUUGCCUUGUCUCCUUAAAGCCCAGCUAAGGAUUCUGGACUUUACAUGCAGAGGAGUGGAGGAGGACACCGGCUGACAGCAUCGCCAAACGUGUGUGCUCGGGGAGGGCCCGCUGUGCACCGGGUUGGCCUGGGUUCCCUCUGGGAACAGGAGGCAAACCAAGACACUGUCCCUGCCCUCAAAGAAUGAAUGAAUGUGGGAAAGCAGAGCCAUUAACAGCCACUUUCAUCAUAAUGUAAGAACAAUGCCGGCAGUUCAGAGGGACUAUGGAAACACCCUUCCAAAGAAAGCCUCCCCGACUAUCACCUGGGCUGUUUUAAAGUUGGAGGAGGUGGGAAAGGCCAUGUCAGGAGGAGGAAAAUGAACAGCGUGAGAACCAAGCAGCAAGUGCGAGCAGGCUGGAGCCAAUACAGCACGGUGUCUUCGCGUGUCUAGUCAUAAGAUGCUCCAGGGCUGAAGAGGGGAAGACAAGAAUAUCUCCCACCGCAGAAAACUCCAGGACUAUCUAACAGGUCACAUGCUCGGGGGCAAGUUUUAAAAGCUAUUCCUGGAGCAGGUGCUAGGACAGCACUGAGGAGCAUGUCAGUGCUUUCCCACACCCGUCACCCUUACCCUGGCUUUAAACCCUCUCCAGCUUUCUGCACUUGACGGUGAACCCCUGCGGAUCCAUGACUCAGAAGCUAGGCUGCCUAACUGAGUACUUCCCCCACUUGUCUUGCAUCUAUGGGGAAGUAUCAACUACUUUGCAAAGACAUUUUCCCAUCAUAUUACUAGAGAGUGGGGAAAGUGAAACUAAUCAAGCCACAUAAAAAUUCUCCCACAACUGGUUUUCAUUUGUGAAAUAUUUAUGCAGAAUUUAUAAGCUAUAAAGCCAGAAAUGACUUAUUUCAACAGCUUUGACGUUGCCAAACUGUGUGGGUGCAGCACUCCAAGGGGGAAUUACUCAAGUUUUUAAAACUCAGAGUCAAAGCAAAAAUGAUCUAAU